GCGCCAUUAGCUCAACUAGAUAUAGCAUGGGUUCUCUAUGCCGAUGGUUGAAGGUUCGAGUCCUACAUGACAUGCCA
rnacentral:tRNA from 1 species